ensembl:lncRNA
UGGACGUGUCUAGUGCCUUGAUUAAUGUGAGCACUCUGGGAUUGCCGGUGUUUUUCUGUCUUGCCACUGCCAAGGCCUAUCUGUGCUUUUUCUUCCUCUCAGGCUUUUCUCCCUCUACUCCAGUGAUUUCAACCAGACAGUUCUAAUUGCUGAGCAUACUUUGGGGAUGUGAGCAGAAAUCUUUAGUUUUAAGGGAACGUCUGAAGAAUACCUCAGAUGUGAAUCAUGUGUCUCAUCCUCAGCCUUACUGGGGACUACAGGAUGUGCAUGAAUCAAAGGCAGCCUGACCAGAUCGUGGAGAGAGGCACACCCA